ACAUUUCGCAACCAAACUUUGUAAUAUUACUAAUUCCAAGACGCUCUUUCCAGCUGUGCUGAUAGAUUUCGUUGUUCUUACUUAGAUUACUAUUUAGUGUAAAGCGCAAGUCGUCCACUGUACCCCAGUGGAAUUCCAAUGAUUAUUGCCACGCAAUUGAGCUGGUACAAACUUAAAACGUAAGAUAAAGUAAGCAUGGUUUUCUAAUGAAAAUGUAUUCA